rnacentral:rRNA from 1 species
AGGACGAACGCUGGCGGCGUGCUUAACACAUGCAAGUCGAGCGGAAAGGCCCUUCGGGGUACUCGAGCGGCGAACGGGUGAGUAACACGUGAGCAACCUGCCCUUAGCUCUGGGAUAGCUCCGGGAAACCGGAAUUAAUACCGGAUAUGACCUAGGCCGACAUCGGCCGUGGUGGAAAGUUUUUCGGCUAGGGAUGGACUCGCGGCCUAUCAGCUAGUUGGUGGGGUAAUGGCCUACCAAGGCGACGACGGGUAGCCGGCCUGAGAGGGCGACCGGCCACACUGGGACUGAGACACGGCCCAGACUCCUACGGGAGGCAGCAGUGGGGAAUCUUGCGCAAUGGGCGAAAGCCUGACGCAGCGACGCCGCGUGGGGGAUGAAGGCCUUCGGGUUGUAAACCCCUUCAGCAGGGACGAAGCGAAGUGACGGUACCUGCAGAAGAAGCGCCGGCUAACUACGCGCCAGCAGCCGC